CCUACGGGUGGCAGCAGUGGGGAAUAUUGGGCAAUGGGCGCAAGCCUGACCCAGCAACGCCGCGUGAAGGAAGAAGGCUUUCGGGUUGUAAACUUCUUUUGUCAGGGAAGAGUAGUAGACGGUACCUGCCGAAUAAUCCACGGCUAACUACUUGCCAGCAGCCGCCGUCAUACGUAGGUGGCAAGCGUUGUCCGGAUUUACUGGGUGUAAAGGGCGUGUUGCCGGGUUUACAAGUCAGAUGUGAAAUCCUUGGGGUUAACCGCAGAAAUGCAUUUGAAACUGUUGAUCUUGAGUAAUGGAGAGGGAGAUGGAAUUCCGAGGGUAGCGGGGAAAAGCGUAGAUAAUAGGGGGAACACCAGUGGGGAAGGGGGGCUGCUGGAAAGCAACUGACGGUGAGGCGCGAAAG
rnacentral:rRNA from 1 species